UUCCGUAGGGUGACCUGCGGAGGGAUCAUUACCGAGUUUACAACUCCCAAACCCCUGUGAACAUACCUUAUGUUGCCUCGGCGGAUCAGCCCGCGCCCCGUAAAAAGGGACGGCCCGCCGCAGGAACCCUAAACUCUGUUUUUAGUGGAACUUCUGAGUAUAAAAAACAAAUAAAUCAAAACUUUCAACAACGGAUCUCUUGGUUCUGGCAUCGAUGAAGAACGCAGCAAAAUGCGAUAAGUAAUGUGAAUUGCAGAAUUCAGUGAAUCAUCGAAUCUUUGAACGCACAUUGCGCCCGCCAGUAUUCUGGCGGGCAUGCCUGUUCGAGCGUCAUUUCAACCCUCAAGCCCAGCUUGGUGUUGGGAGCUGCAGUCCUGCUGCACUCCCCAAAUACAUUGGCGGUCACGUCGAGCUUCCAUAGCGUAGUAAUUUACACAUCGUUACUGGUAAUCGUCGCGGCCACGCCGUUAAACCCCAACUUCUGAAUGUUGACCUCGGAUCAGGUAGGAAUACCCGCUGAACUUAAGCAUAUCAAUAAGCGGAGGAA
rnacentral:rRNA from 1 species